rnacentral:rRNA from 1 species
UGGAAUCGCUAGUAAUCGCGAAUCAGAAUGUCGCGGUGAAUACGUUCCCGGGUCUUGUACACACCGCCCGUCACACCAUGGGAGUCAGCAACGCCCGAAGUCAGUGACCUAACCGAAAGGGAGGAGCUGCCGAAGGCGGGGCCGGUAACUGGGGUGAAGUCGUAACAAGGUACC